UUGUACUUGAAUUCCGUCAUAUAUCAAUUUUUGCUUCGUUUGUCAUUCAUCAAAACCUACAAAAGAGUACACGUUUAGUAUAUUGCAUUCAGAACGUGUUUCUAACAAUUUUCAGAUGGAGGCUUCACCCAACAUCACUGUUUUGAUCAACCACUGGCUAUUGUACAACAGAUGCUUGAAGGCGAACGUUCAGGAACUCUUUUUGUUAGAAACCUACCCCACGCUGUCAGACUAGCACCAUCGAUGGGGUUUUUUGUUACCCUCCCGAAACGGACACUACUAAUAUUUUCCCCCAGAAUCCCAUUUUUGUUAUGACCCAUCCUUGUUCCCCUAGAAUGUUGUUUUUUAUGUCUCCUACUCCUUGCAACGAUCCAACUUAAUAUUAUAUAAUAUAACAUCUUUUGCAAAAAAAAAGAAAUUUUUACCCCCAAAAUUACCUCCUUCCUUUAAUUUUUUUUAAUAUCACACCUUGAAGACACAAUUGACAAAGGAGGUAGGUGUUGACUAUCGGAUGGUCUCGUUUGGUUGCUAGUUACACAUCGUCCUAUAUAAAUAAGAAAACAAACGUAGAAGAAAUACGUACAUUAUGAGAAUCCAAAUGAACGUACGGAUCAAACACUCGUACUAAAAUAAUAAUAAUAAUCUUUAAAGAGCAAGAAUUUGUGUCACAAAAAAGAAAAGAAAAAAGAUGUAAAUUAUGCAGGACAGUUAUUUCUUGUCAUACUAAAAUUGUUAUGGCGUCGAAUAGAUAUUGAUGAGUUAGAUGUGUUUCUUUGGGGCUCUUUAGUUUCCAUUUUCCCUCAUAAAAUGGUUGAUCCUGAUAGUCAUCAGUAGUCUUAUACUAAUGGUUACCCUAGAAAUAUUUCUAGUUAUUCACACAAUAUUGACGCCGUCAAAUAAUGCAAGUCUUGGAUAAAAAUCUAUAACACACUAAAAUGUUCUUGUUGACGAUCCUUUACUUUGACAGAAUAGAAUUACUCAAAUAAUUAUAAUAUCUCACACGGGAUAUAUAAAUUCUUAAACCUUCAACUCUUACUAAGUGUCUAAUACCGAGUAAUGAAAUUACGAGUAUUAUUGUUGUUGUUGUUGUUGUUGUUGUUAUUGUUUUUGUUUUUGUUGUUUUUGUUGUUGUUGUUGUUGCUGUUGUUGUUGCUGUUGUUGGUGUUGUUGUUGUUGUUGUUGUUGUUGUUGUUGUUGUUGUUGUUGUUGUUGUUGUUAUUAUGAUUAAAGGGGGCUACGGGAUCACUUCCGAGUAAGGUGUUGACACUAGUCCUGGCCAAUUACUAAUCCCUAAGCAAACAUUAAACCACAGUGCUCCUCACAACCCUUCCAACGACCACUCGUCUAUAUGGAUUUACGAGCACCACCGGUUAAGAGGGCCUAACCAAGGUUUACUGUUGGAAUUGUUGUUGUUGUUGUUGUUGUUGUUGUUGUUGUUGUUGUUGUUGUUAUUAUUAUUAUUAUUGUUAUUAUUAUUACUAUUAUUAUUAUUAUUAUUACUAUUAUUAUUAUUGUUAUUAUUCAUGGUGGCUACGGGAUCACUUCCGAGUAAGGUGUAGGGGAGAGAUUACAAGAACACUAGUCCUGGCCAAUUACUAAUCCCUAAGCAAACCUUAAACCACGGUGCUCCUCACAAACUACUGAUGGUUACCCUAGACAUAUUUCUAAUUAUUCACACAAUAUUGAUGCCGUCAAAUAAUGCAAGUCUUGGAUAAAAAUCUAACACACUAGAAUUUUCUUGUUGACGAUCCUUUACUUUGAUAGAAUAAAAUUACUCAAAUAAUUAUAACAUCUCACACGGGAUAUAUAAAUUCUUAGACCUUCAACUCUUACAAAGUGGCCAAUACCGAGCAAUGAAAUUACGAGUAUUAUUAUUAUUAUUGUUGUUGUUGUUGUUGUGUUGUUGUUCUUGUUGUUAAAGGGGGCUACAGGAUCGCUUUCGAGUAAGGUGUAGGGGAGAGAUUACAAGAACACUAGUCCUGGCCAAUUACCAAUCCCUAAGCAAACCUUAAACCACGGUGCUCCUCACAACCCUUCCAACGACCACUCGUUUAUAUGGGUUUACGAGCACCACCGUUUAGGAGGGCCUAACCAAGGUUUACUGUUGGAAUUCUUGUUGUUGUUGUUGUUGUUGUUGUUGUUGUUGUUGUUGGGAUAUACAGGAUCGCUUCCGAGUAAGGUGUAGUGGAGAGAUUACAAGAACACUAGUUUUGGCCAAUUACUAAUCCCUAAGCAAACCUUAAACCACAGCGCUCCUCACAACCCUUCCAACGACCACUUGUCUAUAUGGGUUUACGAGCACCACCGGUUAGGAGAGCCUAACCAAGGUUUACUGUUGGAAUUCUUGUUGUUAUUGUUGUUGUUGUUAUUGUUAUUAUUAUUAUUAAUAUUAUUAUUAUUAAAGGGGGCUACAGGAUCGCUUCCGAGUAAGGUGUAGGGGAGAGAUUACAAGAACACUAGUCCUGGCCAAUUACUUAUCCCUAAGCAAACCUUAAACCACGGUGCUCCUCACAACCGUUCCAACGACCACUCGUCUAUAUGGGUUUACGAGCACAACCGGUUAAUAGGGCCUAACCAAGGUUUACUGUUGGAAUUAGUAAUUGCCUGAUCUAUAUAGUUCUUAACCUUAACCAGAAUCCUAGCUACAAAACAUGCAUAGUAGAUAACCUUCAAAUACUAAGUUUAACAUUUAAUUAUUUAGCCUUUUAUUUAGGAUAAAUAGUAAUAUAAAUAAAGAGAGAGAGAGAGAAGAAAACAGUACCGGAGACCUUCUGUUUUUGUGGCCAAGUGACCUUUUCUGAUUUUUCUAUACAAAACUUAAAAUAUUACAAGGACGUUUUUUUAAAAAGGCGAUGG
rnacentral:lncRNA from 1 species